AACGAACGCUGGCGGCAGGCCUAACACAUGCAAGUCGAGCGCGCCUUCGGGUGAGCGGCGGACGGGUUAGUAACGCGUGGGAACGUGCCCUUCUCUACGGAAUAGCCUCUGGAAACGGAGAGUAAUACCGUAUACGCCCUUUGGGGGAAAGAUUUAUCGGAGAAGGAUCGGCCCGCGUUAGAUUAGGUAGUUGGUGGGGUAACGGCCUACCAAGCCUACGAUCUAUAGCUGGUUUUAGAGGAUGAUCAGCAACACUGGGACUGAGACACGGCCCAGACUCCUACGGGAGGCAGCAGUGGGGAAUAUUGGACAAUGGGGGAAACCCUGAUCCAGCAAUGCCGCGUGUGUGAAGAAGGCCUGCGGGUUGUAAAGCACUUUCAGCAGGGAGGAAAAGCUUCGGGUUAAUACCCCGGAGUCUUGACGUUACCUGCAGAAGAAGCACCGGCUAACUCUGUG
rnacentral:rRNA from 1 species